rnacentral:rRNA from 1 species
GACGUAGGGUGCAAGCGUUGUCCGGAUUUACUGGGCGUAAAGAGCGCGUAGGCGGCUUAUUAAGUGUGAAGUGAAAUCUCCAGGGCUCAACCCGGAAACUGCUUUACAUACUGAUAAGCUUGAGGAAUGCAGAGGUUAGUGGAAUUCCUGGUGUAGCGGUGAAAUGCGUUGAUAGUCAGGAGGAACACCCAUGGCGAAAGGCAGCUAACUGGGCGAUU